AUACGGAGGGCGCGAGCGUUGUUCGGAAUCACUGGGCGUAAAGCGGGUGUAGGCGGCCUGUCAAGUCAGAUGCGAAAGCCCACGGCUCAACCGUGGAAGUGCAUCUGAAACUGGCAGGCUUGAGUACCGGAGAGGGAAGUGGAAUUCCUGGUGUAGGGGUGAAAUCCGUAGAUAUCAGGAGGAACACCGGUGGCGAAGGCGACUUCCUGGACGGAUACUGACGCUGAGACCCGAAAGCGUGGGGAGCAAACAGGAUUAGAAACCCUUGUAGUCC
rnacentral:rRNA from 1 species